rnacentral:rRNA from 1 species
UACGGGGGGAGCAAGCGUUGUUCGGAUUUACUGGGCGUAAAGGGCGCGUAGGCGGCCAGCACAAGUCAGUUGUGAAAUCUCCGAGCUUAACUCGGAAAGGUCAACUGAUACUGUGCGGCUAGAGUGCAGAAGGGGCAACUGGAAUUCUUGGUGUAGCGGUGAAAUGCGCAGAUAUCAGGAGGAACACCGGUGGCGAAGGCGGUUCUCUGGGCAUUACCUGACGCUGAGGAGCGAAAGUGUGGGGAGCGAACAGG